rnacentral:misc_RNA from 1 species
GAUGAAGAACGCAGCAAAAUGCGAUAAGUAAUGUGAAUUGCAGAAUUCAGUGAAUCAUCGAAUCUUUGAACGAACAUUGCGCCCGCUGGUAUUCCGGCGGGCAUGCCUGUUCGAGCGUCAUUUCAACCCUCAAGCCCCCGGGUUUGGUGUUGGGGAUCGGCUCUGCCCUUCUGGGCGGUGCCGCCCCCGAAAUACAUUGGCGGUCUCGCUGCAGCCUCCAUUGCGUAGUAGCUAACACCUCGCAACUGGAACGCGGCGCGGCCAUGCCGUAAAACCCCAACUUCUGAAUGUUGACCUCGGAUCAGGUAGGAAUACCCGCUGAACUUAAGCAUAUCAAUAAGCGGAGGA